rnacentral:rRNA from 1 species
UACGUAGGGGGCAAGCGUUGUCCGGAUUUAUUGGGCGUAAAGAGCGUGUAGGCGGCUAGGUAGGUCCGUUGUGAAAACUCGAGGCUCAACCUCGAGACGCCGAUGGAAACCAUCUAGCUAGAGUCCGGAAGAGGAGAGUGGAAUUCCUGGUGUAGCGGUGAAAUGCGCAGAUAUCAGGAAGAACACCCGUGGCUAAGGCGGCUCUCUAGUACGGUACUGACGCUGAGGAGCGAAAGCGUGGGGAGCAAACAGG